rnacentral:lncRNA from 1 species
UGAACAAUGGCACAAAGUCUACAUUCAAAGAAAAAAAUAGCAAAGUAUAAAAUCCUGGAACUGACAGAAUCUGACUCUGUAAGGACUUGGAUCAGGCAUGAGAGAAACAAGAAAAAGAGAGCAGGGUGAAGACAAGCUGAAAUCCUACAGUCAUCCAGACUCAUUCUAAAUGAGGCUGCUGCGAAUACACUGAAAGCAAUAUGAAAAGGAAGGGUUCUUCUACCCUAUUGGUAUUAAAAGUUGGAUGGAAGACGAUACAAAAAUAAUGGAAUAUGUGCUAAGAACUGUCUAGGAGUCUGAAACAUGCUACCAGUAUAAUGCUUUUUCACUACUCCAGUGGAAGAGAGCAUCUUCUGCUGACCCACUGAGCAUGGGGAAAAAAUGUAACGUAGGUUUCUGACUAGUCACAUGAUCUUAAC